rnacentral:misc_RNA from 1 species
UGGACUGCGCAGCUUACGCGACACUUUAGUACGUGAAGAGAGGUGUUAAAUGUUGUUUCGGUCGAUCUGUCAGAAACAAACAUUUCAUCGAUCUGCGUAACGUUUUGAUUGAAAAGCUCAGUGAAUUUAGUGUUAAUCGGAUUUUCUAAUUUAUCAAGCAAUCGCAAGAAUAACAGCGAUCAGUGACCAAUGGGGAAAGAUUACUAUAAAAUAUUAGGCAUAAGCAAAAAUGCCAGUGAUGAUGAUAUUAAAAAGGCUUACAGAAAGUUAGCUUUAAAGUAUCAUCCUGAUAAAAAUAGGAGUGCUGGGGCAGAAGAAAAAUUUAAGGAAAUAGCAGAAGCUUAUGAGGUACUUUCUGAUGCUAAGAAGAGGGAAGUCUAUGACAAAUUUGGAGAGGAAGGACUGAAAGGAGGAGCUGGAUCUGCAGGAGGAGGUGGUGGUGGUACAACAUAUACAUACCAUGGAGAUCCAAAGGCAACCUUUGCUCAAUUCUUUGGUUCUGCUAGCCCCUUCCAAGCAUUCUUUGAAUUUGGAACUCCUAUUGGAAACAGAGUGUUUAACCUUCAUGAUGAUGACAUGGACAUUGAUGAUCCACUUGGUCUGGGAAUUGGUCAUCAUCAACGUCAAGGUGGCCAAGGUGGAGCCUUUAGGUCACAUUCUUUCAACUUUGUUGGACCUAACUCAGGCAGGGGAGGCAACAAAGACCGUGCUCAAGAUCCUGCCAUAGAACAUGAUCUGUAUAUCACUUUAGAAGAAAUUCUACAUGGCUGUACGAAAAAAAUGAAAAUCUCCAGACGUGUUGUACAACCUGAUAACACUACCAGAAAGGAAGACAAAGUUCUUACAAUUAAUGUAAAACCAGGAUGGAAGGCAGGCACUAAGAUCACCUUCCAGAAAGAAGGUGACCAAGGCCGUGGAAAAGUUCCAGCUGAUAUUGUUUUCAUCAUCAGAGAUAAACCCCAUCCUCUGUUUAGAAGGGAAGGCAGUGAUAUAAGAUACACUUGUAAAUUAAGCUUAAAACAAGCUUUAUGUGGCACUGUCAUUGAAGUUCCUACGCUUACCGGCGAAAAAAUCAACUUAAAUUUGACAAGAGAAAUUGUUAAACCUAAUUUGGUCAAGAGGAUUCCAAAUCAUGGCCUACCAUUCCCAAAAGAACCACCAAGGAAAGGUGAUCUUUUGGUUUCAUUCGACAUCAAAUUCCCCGAUGCAUUAACGCAAGAUACAAAGGACAUACUGUAUGAUACUCUGCCAAAUUGAGAACACAAAAUUGAAGGAAAAAAAGAAAGGAUAAUUGUCAUCACAACGACAGUCCUCUAAUCGUCCCAAUUGACGAGACUAAACACUCGUGUACGUUCUAGUACAUAAAGCGUGGUUAGAGAGCUGUGAAAAAAUAUUUGUUGAGGCGAAGCAAAUAAUAAUUUUAUCUCAUAGCUAGGAAAAUGUGAUUUUUCCAUUAGUCAAGUGUAAAAGAAAGUCAGUUUUUUGAUUCGGAUUUAGACAGGCUUAUUUUCGUUAGAAUUCGGAACGAAAGAAAAGAUGGAGGAUAUGUUGCUUUGGUAGUACAGUGAAAUGUACUUUGCCUUUACAUGCGGGAAGAAAGAUCCUAAAUAGUGAUUAAAAACGAAUAUAUUACACUAAGUUAUAUGAUUUAACAGAGAGAGAGUCUGUUACAGUGCAACUCUGUAUGAAUGCGAUCUGAUUAAUUUUGUUCAUUCUGUACAUUCAGAGUAUGUAUUAUGAUAUAUGCAUCUUGGGUGAAUGAGUGUGUAUUUGUGCGUGUGUGCAUAGUCUGUAAGUAUUGCUCUAUGGCGCGGAUUUGUAUGAACGGUAGUUUCGUGGAAGUAUGACAAAUUGAGCCACCAUCAUUGUGUUCAAAUCGUCAUGUUUCUUCCCUCUUUUCUAUUUUAUUUCAUUAUUCAUGUAUCAUGAUUUAAUUCGUUUUUGUUCUCAAUGAAACGUGUAUACGCAGUAAGAAGCUAGACGAGUAUAUUUAAAAGCGUUAAAAAGAAUUACGACUUUACUUGUUUUUCUUUACACGCUCGCAGUGAUCAGUGGAACAUUUUGUCAUAUGGAAGCAGAUGUGCCUGUAAACGACUAUUUGUAAUAUCGAGCUGAUUGUUUUCUUAUGUAACGCGACUUCUUAAUUUUAAUGGUUGGUUAAUUAUUUGUACGCUAAAAUAAUAUCGAUACAAUUAAGUGACACGAUUUUGUAUUUUUAUUGGAUCCUUUUGUCUCAUGAUUCGCUCCUACGCUGGAUAUAACAUCGGGACACUCCUAAAAUAGACAGCGAAGUAGGUGACGUCAUCGUCCUAUCUCCCGAGAUACUUUCACACAAGUGCGUGGCGAAACAGUAGAAUUUCAGUGUAAAUACGUACGCGUACUGCACACAAACGUUGUCUAUUUCGAUAACCGGUGGAUUUGA